rnacentral:rRNA from 1 species
CGAUACGAGUUUGAUCCUGGCUCAGGAUGAACGCUAGCGGCAGGCUUAACACAUGCAAGUCGAGGGGCAGCGCGAUGUAGCAAUACAUUGGCGGCGACCGGCGCACGGGUGCGUAACACGUAUGGAACUUACCCUUUACUGGGAGAUAGCCCGGAGAAAUCCGGAUUAAUAUCCCAUAAUAAACGAAGUGGCAUCACUUUGUUUUGAAAGCUCCGGCGGUAAAGGAUGGCCAUGCGCACGAUUAGCUAGUAGGUGAGGUAACGGCUCACCUAGGCUACGAUCGUUAGGGGGCCUGAGAGGGUUAUCCCCCACACUGGUACUGAGACACGGACCAGACUCCUACGGGAGGCAGCAGUGAGGAAUAUUGCGCAAUGGAGGCAACUCUGACGCAGCCAUGCCGCGUGCAGGAAGAAGGCGCUACGCGUUGUAAACUGCUUUUAACCGGGAAGAAACCCUCCGACGUGUCGGAGGUUGACGGUACCGGAGGAAUAAGCACCGGCUAACUUCGUG